rnacentral:rRNA from 1 species
UACGAGGGGUGCAAGCGUUGCUCGGAAUUAUUGGGCGUAAAGGGUACGUAGGUGGUCUCAUUUGUCUGGGGUGAAAGCCUCGAGCUUAACUCGAGAAGUGCCCCAGAAACGGUGAGACUAGAGUCUUGGAGAGGGUCGUGGAAUUCCCGGUGUAGCGGUGAAAUGCGUAGAGAUCGGGAGGAACACCAGAGGCGAAGGCGGCGCCCUGGCUCGCAACUGACGCUCAGACACGACAGCAUGGGGAGCGAACGGG